rnacentral:lncRNA from 1 species
UUAAGACCAAGAGCCUCACGCGCCCACGAUGAAUGGGGGGGGGGCUUUGGCCGAAGAACCUCCGAUGCCAAAGUUAGAAUUUAGAGAGAAAGAGUGUUUAGAGAAUUUUGGGAUUUUUGCCAAAGUGUUGGAAUUAGCUUUUUGGUGAGAAUGGGAGUAUAUUUAUAGGGAUAGGAGGUGGCUAGGGUUUUUAGGUUUAAUUAGCCAAUUUAUUUGGCUAUUAAACAUAAAAUGAAUGUUUUGGUGGUUUUUUGUAUAAUUGGCUAAUAAAAAGGAAGAAAUGGUGGGAAAAGGUAGAAAAAAGGUAAUGGAUUAGGUUUUUCAAUGGGAUAGCCGGCCCUCUUGUGUUUUUAGGUUUGAGUGGAUGUUUCAAAUUGACAAUUAAGGGAUUGAUUAGGUAAUUAAUCCCUUAAUUAGUCAAUUAUUAUGAUUUUAUGAAAUAUGAAAGGAAUAAGUAUAUUAUUUAGCUAAUUGAUUAGCUAAAUAAUGAAAUGGGAAAUAUAUGAAUAAAUUAGGUUUUAAGUUGAUACCUAUUUUGGGCACUUUUGACUUGGUUGAAAAAAUGAUUCUCUACUGCUCGCGUGUAGGAAACCCGGUAUGCCUCGAGGGUAUUUUUGUCCUCUUUUGUCCAAAAGUCCACCUGUCGCCUAGUGAAUAUUUUUGGCUCCACAAAUGCCCCCACACCUGUUGGGCUGCUCGCAAAAAAAGGGCAGCAGGUGUAGAGAUCUUCUUGCUUUAGGAAACUUAAGACUGCUUCCUAUUUUGAUGUUGAUUCUCUCUUUAAUAGGAAAUUAGAUCCUUCUAGGAAAGGGAAAUAAAUUUCUCUCAAAGCCUAUUUAACUCCACCUUAAGUGGGUUAUUAAAUCAACUUUGGAAAGCAAUUUAUUCUACCCUACAAGAGAGAGAUAGCUUAGAGGAUAUUUGUUCCCCCUCCUCUAGCAAUCUUCUACAUCUUGCCCGUGCAAAGGACCGUCUUUCGUUGCUUUCUUCGUCUUCUUCGUGCCGCACCGAUGUAAGAAAAAUUUAAUUUUUCUUGCCUUAUUCUUGGAUAGUGCUAUUGCGGGGCAGUCGUCGGGGUGGUGCGGCACAUCGGCUGGCAGGGGCCAGGAGUUGGCUCGGCAUGGGCCGAGGAGAUGUUGUGGCAGGGACCACUGCUUGGGCAGCUUGGCUUGGCUUGAGCCAAAAGGCAGCUUGUGCAACUAGGGUCGCGGAUUGUGGCGCUGGGGCGCAGUGCUAGGCGAGCCGCAUGGCUCAUGUCCUUUGGGCUCUUGGACCUGACUCGGGCCAGGCUGGUGAUUGAGAGAAAUAAAGAGAUUGCGGGUCUCAUGGGCUGCUGGAAUGUUGGGCAUGCAGGCCUCCUGCCUGUUGGAAUGCUGGGUUGAGCUCCCCUACUGAGUACCAUGAAUGUAGUUGGCUGCUUAGUCCUCUUUGCCGAAAGAAAGGUGGGUUGCUCCAGAAAGAGGAGGUAAAGAGGAUCAAGGCGGAUGCAUUGGCUCGUCUGAUCGCUGUCGUGGAGCUUACUAUGAAUGAAGAUGGAAAGAAGAGAUCUUCCCCGCCUGCUCAUGAGAUGCCAGUUAAGAAAAAACUGAAGACUUCUUCUGCUGCUCAUGAGGGUCCGCUUGCUACCGAGAGGUAUGUGAUUGACAUGAUUUUCCAAUGGGAAGAAAUGUAAGGCUGCUAGAUCUGAGCAUGUGGCGUCUUCCAUGUUGAGAAUGGCUAGUACAAUUGUGGAUAAGAUUACUCAGCGUAAAGGUUUUAUCAUGCCCCCAGUGCCGAAGUCUGUACCAGGACGUUCUUUGGGAGCCAAGUCUGGUUCACCUUUGUAGAGACUUGCUAUUAUGAAGAGUGGUAAGGUGGACUCUGCUGCUAAAGUGGCGCCAAAAGCCUGCUCCCUUUGCUGCUGAGAUUGAUUCGCCUCAGAUUCAAGAUCUUAAGCUUGCAAUUUCUGAGCUUCGUUUCGCUACUUAUGCUAAGAAGAGAGUGGAUGAGCUUCUCUAUUUCUCCGGAAGACUUGCUUGCUUUUACUUUUAAGGCUUCCAUUGGUGAAGUAGUUGGAGAAGUUAGUGCCCAGACUGGGGCAGCCGGGGGUGAAGCGCCGGAUGAUGCCGCUGCUAAGAGCGUUACGGCUGUUGAAGGUGUGGCGACCGAGUAGUCGUGGAAUGUCCAAGCUGCUGUAGUGUAGUAUUUUAGGUAGCCUUUAGGAUUUUCUUUGUUUUUCCUUGUAGCUUUUGUUCUGCUUGAACUCCUUCAACCUUUGCUAGUUGUUUAUAAACAUGUUUUCCUUCGUUUUUCUUCAUCUUCACUUCUUUUGUUCAUGCCCUAACCUUUAGACUUGAUAGACCAGUGGCAGGCAUGCUACUUUUUUAUAAGCAGACAAACUCGCGUAGCCUAUGCAGCCGUAGAUGUUGGUGUAGAACUUUGCAAAGUUGUUAGCCAUAGGGUUGGCAGCCGGAUGCCUUACUUACAGAAGCAGAGCAAGUAUCACAUUACGCGUAACCACUAGGCUGUUAACUUUGACUUUCUUCAAUUCCAUAGGUUGCGUAGCAAGUAUCACAACACUUUAGGACUUGGUGUAGGUUGUUCCGCGCUUGGCAGAGGUGAAGCUUAUCGACUACGUAGCAUGUCGGCAGUGGAUAAAACUUCGUAUAUGCGCGCUAGCUUGUCUAACCUUUCACAAGAAUGUGCGGUUGUAUAAGUCUAGUGCGGCUUUACUGCUCGAAGGGCAAGCCGUAGGCAAUCUUCCGGAAUCCGUAGGUUACCUUAGUGCACUCGGUAGCAGCUUUAGGAUUCCAGGGCAGCCGUCCAUCGGAUGUACUGCGUAAUGUGCCCUCUCCGUCUCUAGGGCCCGGUUCCCCACGGAUUAGGCCAAGAGACCCAAAAUCCUUCAGUUAGCUAAACCUUGAAAAAGACCAUUGCGGCUACUUCUAGGAAUCCCGGCGCAAGCCAUCGUGCAUCUAGUUAUACUAGGGCAGCCAGGCUCAUCCACGUCUGGAUAUUCGGAGUGUAAAGUUUAUCCUCCCGUCUUGGAGAGCUGACCCAUAUGGGUGUUGGAGAAUUGGUUUACCCUCUCGCACUGGAGAGCAUGGUUGGUCCCUCGGGGGGCGCAAUUCCUGCGAUAAGUCCCUAAGAAGGGUGCAGUCUUCUUUUGAAGUGCAAGAGUGAUUAGUUGUUGUAAGCAUGCAGCCAAGCCAAGUUGUGAUUACUUCUAAAUUCCUCAUUGAAAAACGAGUGAAACGAACGAGAACUUUAGCUGUAAAGUAGGAACUGCAUAACAACUGGAUAGUCCUCAGCUUGUGAGGUGGUGCCCGUCGAGCUUAUUGAGUCUUCGGGUUUUGAUGUAGCGGGAGGUCACACAUGGUACUUCUUCAGAUUGUAGGCCAUCCAUUUUUUUUUCAAUCUUUUUGCCGCUUCAUGGUGGUGAGGGUGUAAUUACUCUUGCCCCCUACUCUGCUGAUCUUGUACGGACCUUCCUAGAUGGGAUCCAUCUUUUUGGAGCCUUCUCUGCCGGCAGUGAUGAAGGCUUUUCUGCGCCGUCGACAUGCAAAUGCCAGAAGUCUCCAUCGGGUGGAGUAGGCGCAGCUAGAGUGUGCUCGGCUACUUCUGAGGCAUCGUUGGGCCGCUCUGUUGCGUCACCUAGGCUCGGCGUGAAGGCGCAGUAGGGAGCUAUGGAGAUGGGGCCAUGUCAUACGCAACAGGAGAUGCUCAACUGCGGGUAUUGGGCCACUCUAGAGUUGAAUCAUUGAGCAAAGGUCGGCUAGGGCCGUGUGAUGCGCAACAAGAAAUGGUACUCAACUGCCGUUACAUGUUGCUCCUAUGUAGAAUCCUUCAGGGUGACGAGGACAAAACUUGCUUUCAAGUGUAUCUUUCCAGUGUUACGUUCGUCAGAAAACUUUACAUCCGCCAGGGUCUACGCCUUUAUCGUCGCGCGUCUGGAUUGGGCAGAAUAGUACGUCAUUAAGAUGAUUGCAUGCGUUUGAAAGUAAGAUUUGUGUUUCUAGGUUGCAACAACUAUCGCCAAAGUUAACUUUUGAAUUUUUAAUAACAUCGAUGAGAGCUUUUGAACUGUAGAAUACAGGUAACUGUGGAAUACAGGUAGUCGGGCCCCCAUCUCUUCUCGCAUGAUGGUAGAGCUUAUUGCUACUUUAGAUAACGUCAAACAUGUGAAUAAGUCCUCCGCUGCUUCUAGGGAGGUGAUGUCGGGUACUUCUUCAAGUUCUUGAAUGUGCAUUGGCGAGCCUCAUCCCAAAGUGCAUACUUCUCUGCCAAAGCAAAAGAGUCUGCCAGAGUUAGAUCUUCUUUCAUGAUCAAUUUUCCGAAUAGCGGGUGGUCUGCUGGAAGUCCUUUUUGGAAGGCUGCUCUAGCUAUCGAGUCGUUGCAUCCGACUAUUUUUGCCUUCUCUACUUUGAACCUCCUCACAUAGUCGCGAAGCGACUCCUUUGGGUUCUUCUUGACGUUGAACAAAUGAUCAGACUUCUUUUUUAUUGAGCGAUAGGAUGAAUAUUCUUUGGUGAAAACCAAAGAAAGUUCGUAGAAAUCCCAGAUGGAUUGUGGCGGCAGGGUGUAGAACCAAUCUUGCGCCUCGCCUUGUAGAGUAGUGGCGAAUAUCUUGCACAUGAGCUCAUCGUUGUUUCGAUAAAGGAUCAUUGCGCUUCGGUAGCGCUUUAAGUGUCUCUCCGGGUCUUCAUCCCCUUUGAAAGAUGUGAAAUGUGGCAUGCUGAACUCUCGUGGAGGCUCUGCCUGCUCGAUCUCGUCCGUGAAGGGUGACCUGCUUAUGUUGGUCAUGUUCCGUCGUAGUGCCUCGUUGGUGACCUCGUUGCGUUGGAAAUCAUGCAAUCGCUUGGUCAAGAGUCUCUCUACUUCUUCCUGAAUUUGCCUUUGUUGGGGGUAGUGCAGCUCUCGGCUGCCCCCAGCCAUGACUUGCUGGUCUAGGCUGCUCUUCCAUGUGUUUUGGCUCGUCUAUGCCGCAGAUGCAGUGCAUAUGGUGCAUUCCUAGCAGGCGAGCGAGUUCUUCGCAGGCUGCUGGUUAAACUUGAGCUGGAUUGAGUGACUGCUUCUCUCCGUCCGUCGUGCUGCCUACUCUGAUGUGAGGUGGAUGAUGCUCCUUGUGGGCUUAGCCGCGAAUGAACAUUUUGUCUGGAAGGUUGCUCAUGUUGACUAUCGGAGUGUGACCCCAACCGUGAAUGUAUGCUCAUCCGUGGGCCUAGUCGAGAGUACACGCUCCUCCGCGCGCUAAGACGAGAGUAUACGCUAUCUCGGGGGCCCAAUCGGGAAUGUACACUGCCUGAACGUUCAGCUCGUGGCUGGUCGAAUGGCUGCUUGCUGGGAUGCUGCUGGAAAGGUUCGUCUGCCAUUGUCCUACUUCGGGAUACCUCAUCCGGGGCACGUUGGAUCCCGAUGCGUUGCAAAAGUUGAUUCACCAAAGUUGUCUGUUGUGCAAGAGUGCUCGUCAACUCUAUGACUUGUCGAGACAAGUGUUGUUCGCCAUUUGGAUUGGAAGAGCUUGGAAGGAAUGCGCCUCCUUGAGCAGUGGAAGGGUGGUAGACUCCGGGCGCGAGAUUUGAGUUGGGAAAUGUCAAAUCAGCGAAAAAAUGUGGUGAGAAUGCCCCCGGCUCAAUGGUAGGUCCAGAUGGUUGAGAUAGUUUUGGGCCGACUUGGGCUGCUUGGAAAGCCACGGGAGCAGUGUGGGCCUUAAGAGUGGGCUGCUCGUCGGGAGUGGGCUGCUCGUUGGGAGCAGGCUGGGUCACGAGAGCAGGCUGCUUGGCAGGAGCAGGUUGCUUGGCGGGAGCAGGCUGGGCCACGGAAGCAGGCUGCUUGGCAGGAGCAGGUUGCUUGGCGGGAGCAGGCUGGGCCACGGAAGUAGGCUGCUUGGCAGGAGCAGGCUGGGCCACGGGAGUGGGCUGCUUGGCAGGAGCAGGCUGGGCCACGGGAGUGGGUUGCUCGACGGGAGCAGGCUGCUCAAUGCGCGGUGCAUGUGAAUGCGAGGCUUGGGCUUGGGUCCACGUGAACUUGGAUGGCACGGCUUGGAUCGUGGUCUUGGUACCGUGAGCCUUGGAUGGCACGGCUCGGGCCGUGGUGAAGGCUCCAUGGACCUCGCCACGAGUGGCUACCGAAGUAGCCAUCGUGGUGGUUCCCAUGGUGGCCGUGGUGAAGGCAUCAUGGACCUGUAGCCACCACGGUGGUUCCCAUGGUGGCCGUGGUGAAGGCAUCAUGUGGAAGCUCGUGGUGAUGAUGCCGCUCCCCUUAUUGUCGCAUUUUGCCUUACGGAUCUCCGGGUCGUGGUGAAGGCUCCAUGGACCUCGCCACGAGUGGCUACCGAAGUAGCCACCGCGGUGGUUCCCAUGGUGGCCGUGGUGAAGGCACCAUGGACCUCGCCGCGGGUAGCUACCGAAGUAGCCACCACGGUGGUUCCCAUGGUGGAAGCUCGUGAUGAUGAUGCCGCUCCCCUUAUUGUCGCAUUUAGCCUCACGGAUCUCCGCAAUCCCAUUUCUUGAACAUUAGAAUUUUCACUUGUGGAAUUUUCUAAAUUUCUAGCCAUUAUAUUUUGCUUAUACGUUUUAUCAAAGAACCUUUGCAAGUAAAAAAUUCUAAUAAUAAGAACGUAUGAAAAAUAUUCAAAUGGACUAGAAAAUAAAGAAAAAACCUUUUUUGUGCAAGAGUCUUCUACGAGUAUGGAUUUCAACUCUCAAUGAAAGCACCAAUUUGUGGAUGCAAAUUUCUUCCUCCUCGAUCUUGGACGAUUUUGCACCUACAAAACAAUUAACACCUUAGGUUAAGACCAAGAGCCUCACGCGCCCACGAUGAAUGGGGGGGGCUUUGGCCGAAGAACCUCCGAUGCCAAAGUUAGAAUUUAGAGAGAAAGAGUGUUUAGAGAAUUUUGGGAUUUUUGCCAAAGUGUUGGAAUUAGCUUUUUGGUGAGAAUGGGAGUAUAUUUAUAGGGAUAGGAGGUGGCUAGGGUUUUUUAGGUUUAAUUAGCCAAUUUAUUUGGCUAUUAAAACAUAAAAUGAAUGUUUUGGUGGUUUUUUUGUAUAAUUGGCUAAUAAAAAGGAAGAAAUGGUGGGAAAAGGUAGAAAAAAGGUAAUGGAUUAGGUUUUUCAAUGGGAUAGCCAGCCCUCUUGUGUUUUUAGGUUUGAGUGGAUGUUUCAAAUUGACAAUUAAGGGAUUGAUUAGGUAAUUAAUCCCUUAAUUAGUCAAUUAUUAUGAUUUUAUGAAAUAUGAAAGGAAUAAGUAUAUUAUUUAGCUAAUUGAUUAGCUAAAUAAUGAAAUGGGAAAUAUAUGAAUAAAUUAGGUUUUAAGUUUAUACCUAUUUUGGGCACUUUUGACUUGGUUGAAAAAAUGAUUCUCUACUGCUCGCGUGUAGGAAACCCGGUAUGCCUCGAGGGUAUUUUUGUCCUCUUUUGUCCAAAAGUCCACGUGUCGCCUAGUGAAUAUUUUUGGCUCCACAAAUGCCCCCACACCUGUUGGGCUGCUCGCAAAAAAGGGCAGCAGGUGUAGAGAUCUUCUUGCUUUAGGAAACUUAAGACUGCUUCCUAUUUUGAUGUUGAUUCUCUCUUUAAUAGGAAAUUAGAUCCUUC